rnacentral:rRNA from 1 species
AUUGAACGCUGGCGGCAUGCCUUACACAUGCAAGUCGAACGGCAGCACGGGAGCAAUCCUGGUGGCGAGUGGCGAACGGGUGAGUAAAGUAUCGGAACGUGCCCAGUCGUGGGGGAUAACGUAGCGAAAGUUACGCUAAUACCGCAUACGAUCUAUGGAUGAAAGCGGGGGAUCGCAAGACCUCGCGCGAUUGGAGCGGCCGAUAUCAGAUUAGGUAGUGGGUGGGGUAAAGGCUCACCAAGCCGACGAUCUGUAGCUGGUCUGAGAGGACGACCAGCCAACCUGGGACUGAGACACGGCCCAGACUCCUGCGGGAGGCAGCAGUGGGGAAUUUUGGACAAUGGGCGAAAGCCUGAUCCAGCCAUGCCGCGUGCAGGAUGAAGGCCUUCGGGUUGUAAACUGCUUUUGUACGGAACGAAAAGGUUUGGCCUAAUAAGCUGAGCUCAUGACGGUACCGUAAGAAUAAGCACCGGCUAACUACGUGCCAGCCGCCGCCGUAA